rnacentral:rRNA from 1 species
GUGAGUGGCGAGCGUUAUCCGGAAUUAUUGGGCGUAAAGCGUCUGUAGGGGGACAGACAAGUGAGGUGUAAAAGCCCUAGGCUCAACCUAGGGACGGCAUUUCAUACUAUCUGUCUUGAAGGAGGUAGAGGCAAAUGGAAUUCCCGGAGUAGGAGUUAUAUCCGUAGAUACCGGGAGGAACACCAAUAGCGAAGGCAAUUUGCUGGACCUUUCUUGACCCUGAGAGACGAAAGCGUGGGUAGCGAACCGGAUUAGAUACCCGGGGGUAGUCCACGCCGUAAACGCUGGAUACUAGGCGUAUGAGGCAUCGACCCCCCUUAUGUGCCGAAGCUAACGCAUUAAGUAUCCCGCCUGGGGAGUACGGCCGCAAGGCUA